rnacentral:rRNA from 1 species
UACGUAGGGUGCAAGCGUUGUCCGGAAUUAUUGGGCGUAAAGAGCUCGUAGGCGGUUUGUCGCGUCUGCUGUGAAAACUCAGGGCUUAACCCUGAGCCUGCAGUGGGUACGGGCAGACUAGAGUGUGGUAGGGGAGAUCGGAAUUCCUGGUGUAGCGGUGAAAUGCGUAGAUAUCGGGAGGAACACCUGUGGCGAAAGCGGCUCACUGGACCACAACUGACGCUGAGGCGCGAAAGCUAGGGGAGCAAACAGG